rnacentral:lncRNA from 1 species
UAAAUGAGUAAUAGCUCAAAUGGCAUAGACUCCCCAUACUCAAUUAAGAGGUUGCGGGUUUGAGUCUCCUAUAUAGUAGCCAAUGAGUUAUAACUCAAAUGGCAUAGACUCCACAUACUCAAUUAAGAGGUUGCGGGUUUGAGUCUCCUAUCUUUCAAAUGAAAGAGGUAAUAAUAACAAGUCUUUCAAUGGCGAAUUGAAAUGGACUAUAGGGGGUGGACAAGAAGAAUUAACGACAUAUAUCUGGGUCGGAAAAGGAAGAAUGGACUGAUAUAGUUUUUUGCCUUUGUUCGUUACACUACAAAAGGUGGCGCUCUAAAGGCAAUUGCAGAGAAUCCGGGAAAAGGUAAUUACAGUUGGAGAAGCGAAGUAUAGAAGACAGCCUCAUUUGAGGGAAGGGCAGGUGCGGUUGGACCUCACCAGUCAGUAUGGGGGUGGACCAGAGGUUUCCCAUCAUGGAAAAGGUGUUGAUGCUGGGUUGGUCAUUGAGGAACAGCCAGUGCGAGACCAUAAGGUUACCGCAAAGGAGGGUGGAAUUCUGAAAAGAAUUGAUGUGUCGGUGGUUGAAGCAAAUUUGGAUUGGUUAGUGAGGAGUUUAGUGGGACAAACCGUGCACUCUGUGGACCUGAAAUCAGUGAAAAACGUGGUGUGCAAGAAUAUACCACACAUUGUGGACGUUAAGGAGAUUGGGGAGUCCAAGGUACUGAUAAUCUUUGAUACUGUUCAGCAUGCUGAGGGAGCGUUUACUUUCAAAAUGGAUACUCUGUUAAAAUUAUUCCAUAGGGUCCGGCAUUGGGAGGAGUCGAAACGAUGUAACACUCGAAGAACGUGGCUGGCGUGCUACGGAAUCCCUUUACAUGCAUGGUCGCCGGUAAUGUUUCAAAAAUUAGGAGAACAGUGGGUCGACGUAAUUCAGUGUGAUGUAACGACAGGGGAGGGAGCAUCAUUUACAGCAGGUAGGGUUCAAGUUGAGACAGAGGUGUUUGAUGAAAUUCGGAAAUGGGUACAAAUUGCUGUAGGGAAUUCUGAGUAUAGAGUGUUUGUGAAGGAGGUGGACCUCCAGAUAAGUGCAGCAGCCGGUGUGGAGAUGAGCCGAACUGACUGUGCAGAGAAGAUAGUUUCUGACGGUGCGGGUACGGUGUUGGCAAAGGGGGCGGGGAGUUGGGAUCCGGCGGCGAAACUGGUGGCUGGGAGUCCUAUGGUGGCUGUGCAGGGGGAGGACAGAAUAGUAAUUAAUGAUAUCUUUUUGAAUGAUGUUAACAUUGAUUUUUUGAAAUUCAAAAAGGAUAUGCAUGUACCAGAUUCAGGUAAUGGUACCAAGGACGAUAGGAUAGAUGAUUCUCAGGGAUUUGAUGAGGUUAAUGAGGGAGAAUCGGAAAAAAACGGUCACGCAGAUAUGUGGCAUUGGGGGUGGAGGAGCUCAUGUCACGUGUGAUAGACCAUAUGGUAAUGUUUAUGUGGGCCACCCGGUAUGCUACACGGUUGAGAGGUGUGAGGAGUUAGUGUUGGGCUUGCCUUCAAUUGGCCCAAUAUUAAAUCAAGGUGUAGGUGGGCUGCAGAAUGAAGGGAGCCUAGUGAGUGGGUUAGAUGUGGGGCUGGGCCAAGCCUGUGUAAUAGCUGCAAGGAAUCAUGGACUGCUCUCCAUGGAUGGCACGGGCGGGUCGGUUGGGCGAAUGACCUGGAUUGCUCCACAGGAACUGAGUGCAGUGCCGCCAUUGGAAGGUAGGAGCGGCGAACUAGGGUUCUUCAACGAGGCGGAUGUUGCAACGGGAGGGCUGGUGGCUGCAACUGAGGAAUUGGCGCUGGAUCCGAAGGAAGAAGCCCCGAUCGCGCAUGGAGAAGUUGAGCGCGAGUGUGGAAAGGUCGCGACGGGGGAGAAGGACGCUGGAGUGGCAGUCAGAAGGUAGGGCCAGGUGGCGCAGGAAGCGGGAGAGGCGGACAGACUACACUCCGCUAGCUCCCAAGUGGGCAUGAGAAGGCAAACUGCGAAGGGAAGCACCGCGAUAGCAAGUUCGUUUUAAAAAAAUAGCUUAAAUAAUAAAUUACUAUAUUAAAAGUAACUUAUAAAUAAGUUAUUUUGUAUUUGGAUUUUUAGUUCUAAAAGUACUUAUUUUAUAAAAAUGUGAUAAAUAAUAGUACUAUGAGAGAAGUCAUUUGUUUUAACUUCUCUAUAAACUCCUAAAUAGCUUCAUACAAAACUGCAAUUUUCAGAAAAUUGCACGUGACAUUAAUACUACUACUCUUCGUAAGUCAAAAGCUCAAAAAAAUUGCUUUUGAAACUUCCUAAACGGAUUUGGAUCCUCUAAAUUUUGAAUUUCACUCUUAAAUAGUUUCUUUCUUAUAUUUUCUCUUCGUUCUACCUAUGAAAUAAACAUAAAAAAUCACAAUUUAUCAUCUAAAAUAAAAGUUUAAAAUUUAGAGGAUUCAAAUCCUUUCCGAACAUGUCCUUAAUCUAAAAAACGUAUUUAAAUGCAUAAAUCUAAUUAGAUCACGGCAUAAAUUGUGAAUACCACUCUAGCUGAAAAAAUCAAACUAUAUAUAUAAGAAUAAUUUAGCUGAAAAAAUUGUGAAUACCACUUUUAAGUCUUAACGCAUAAAUUGAAAGAUAAAAGGGGUCGAUAUCUAUCAAUCUAUGCGUCUUAGAUUAAUCCAAAAAUAAAUUGAAAAAAAAAAACACACGUCUUAAGUUUUCUUUUUUUCAAAAAUCUGAUUUUGAAUUCAAAUUCUCGAGCUAAAACAAAAGCUAACAUAUCAAGAUGAUCAAAAGAAACAAAAGGAAAAACUGAAAAACCUCGAAACCCCACGAUUCUUUUAUCAAAAGUUCGAUUAUUUGAUGCUACCCCAGAUUAUGAAACCGUAAGGAAUGGACAUUGAAACGACGAAGAAGAAGAAAAGACUCGAACUUUGGAAUGCCCAUAAUGCAAAAAACAACACAAUGCAGAAAGAGUGAAGAAGCAAGCACCUGGUUCAACUCAGCUCGCUAACUGUGACUCGUUUGACUCGGCGUGCUUUUAGAUAGAAAACAGAAACCACUCACUGAGUCAGUGUCUAUCUCUG